GAUGAACGCUAGCGGCAGGCUUCAUACAUGCAAGUCGAGGGGCAGCAUAAAUUACUUGUAAUUUGAUGGCGACCGGCGAACGGGUGCGUAACGCGUAUGCAACUUACCUUUUACUAGAGAAUAGCCAAGAGAAAUUUUGAUUAAUGCUCUAUGUUCUUAUUUACUCGCAUGAGUAAAUAAGCAAAGCUCCGGCGGUAAAAGAUGGGCAUGCGUCCUAUUAGCUUGUAGGUGAGGUAAUGGCUCACCUAAGCUCCGAUAGGUAGGGGUCCUGAGAGGGAGAUCCCCCACACUGGUACUGAGACACGGACCAGACUUCUACGGAAGGCAGCAGUAAGGAAUAUUGGACAAUGGAGGCAACUCUGAUCCAGCCAUGCCGCGUGCAGGAAGACGGCCUUAUGGGUUGUAAACUGCUUUUAUACAGGAAGAAACCUGCUCACGUGUGAGCAGCUGACGGUACUGUAAGAAUAAGGAUCGGCUAACUCCGUGCCU
rnacentral:rRNA from 1 species